UACGUAGGGGGCGAGCGUUGUCCGGAAUCAUUGGGCGUAAAGAGCGUGUAGGCGGCUUGGCAAGUCUGACGUGAAAGCCCGCGGCUCAACCGCGGAUUGUCGUUGGAAACUGCCUCGCUAGAGUCCGGAAGAGGAGAGCGGAAUUCCUGGUGUAGCGGUGGAAUGCACAGAUAUCAGGAAGAACACCCGUGGCGAAGGCGGCUCUCUGGGACGGUACUGACGCUGAGACGCGAAAGCGUGGGGAGCAAACAGG
rnacentral:rRNA from 1 species